rnacentral:lncRNA from 1 species
UGAGCGAGAACUUCAAGUAGUGCCUUCCAAAUCAUUGCCCCAGAAUUUGCAAUCCUUCCUAAGUUUACAAUCUUGCUUAAUAUUUCAUGUGUUUUCUGUAUUCAUUACAUAAUUAUAGUAAAAUGCAAUUAUUUUGGCUUAGAACCAGUUGACAGAGUUGAUACAAGGAGAUUAUAACUAUGGUCCAAGAUAAGAGUUCCUGCUCCAUUUAUGGGACAUUCUUAAGUUUGCAUUUGGAAGGCUGGAGCCAGUGGUGACAAGACCCAACACCUAAGCUGGCCCACACCCGAGGCUGAUGUUCAAAAUAUAUUAAUAUAACUCCCCAGGUGCUUAUCAGUCAAAACACAAGCCAGCCAAAAACAACCUUAUGAACACACAACCCCGAUACAUGUAUAUUUACUUUAAAAUUAUAUACAUGUACUACCAUCAACCCAUAUGUUAAAUAUCAGUAAGAUUAUUUUUUCUCAUAAAAACAAAUGCAAAUAGAAGUUGUACCAUUUCCUUUCCCAAGGGAUUGGCAUGUGCUCCCCAACCAUGAACAAUGACCCUCUCAUGUUAAUGUAUAACAUAAAAAUUAAUGGAGACAAAAAAUGUAUUGUUAAUUUCCAUGCUGCUCAUACAGUGUGCCUUACUCCAUGCACUUGGACCUGAAAAUUUAGUGUAAACCAAAUUUUAGCAAAAGAAACUAUAUUGUAAACACAAUGAGGGAAACUGGCUAUUUAUAGGAAUCUUCUUUAGGCAUCUCUUUUGUAAAGUAAAUAAAUACUUUGUAAUUAAAUCAGUUCAAUACAGAUUCAUUUUCUAAGCUCCUAAAAUAAAUUUUUUUUAAAAAAAAAUAAUCACCCCUAGGCCGGGCAUGGUGACUCACACCUGUAAUCCCAACACUUUGGGAGACCAAGGCAGGUGGAUCACCUUAGGUCACCUUAGGCCAGCCAACAUGGUGAAACCCCAUCUCUACUAACCACACACACACACACACACACACACACACACACACACACAAGAAUUAGUUAAGUGUGGUGGCGGGCACCUGUAAUCCCAACUACUUGGGAGGCUGAGGCAGGAGAAUUGCUUGAACCCAGGAGGCAGAAGUUGCAGUGAGCUGAGAUCAUGCCACUGCACUCCAGCCUGGGCGACGGAGCACGACUCUGUCUCAAAUAAUAAUUAUAAUUAUUAUUAUUAUUUAUAAUUGAUAAUAACCACUAAAAUGAAGCCAACAGCCAAGACACUCAAAAAAACAAAUUAUAUUUCACGCCCACUUGCAAUCUAAUUAUUUCACUAUCUAUCACUAUAGAAUUGGAAGAAGUUAUUCUCAUGAACACCCUGAAGGAAACUUUCCAUUAUGGUAUGAAUAAUUAGUGAGUUCUUUUGAAAAAAUGGUGCAGGCCUGGUAGACAGGUACAAUGUUUCAAAAAUCCAAAGGAUGGAUACAGCCAGGUGCAAACAAACUUUUCUCUCUUCUCUAGACACUGGCCCCAGUUUCCCACUUCCGGCCUCUGUUUACGCUGGUUCUCACCAGAAACACCGCUCCCAGACCCAUCCCUCUCUCACCCAGACGACUGCACGUAAGCAGGUACCCACGCAUGAGUGUGCACAUACACAGACACACACACUCCAACAUACACACACACACACACUCCGACUCAGUCACCCAAAUCCUGCCGACUUUCAAAGCCCAUCUCAAACACAGUCACGGAUCACACAACUGUAUUUUGGUCAACAAUGGACCAAAAUAUAUUUAUACAAUGGUGGUCCCCUAAGAUGACAAUAUGGUUAUUUUUACUGUGCUUUUUCUAAGUUUAGAUCUGUUUAGAUACAGAAAUACUCACCAUUGUGUUACAAUUGCCUACAGUAUUUAGUACAGUAACAUGCUGUACAGGUUUCUAGUCUAGGAGUAACAGGCUCUACCACGUAGCCCAGGUGUAUAGUAGGCUAUGCCAUCUAAGUUUGUGUAAGCACACUCUAUGAUGGUCACACAAAUUGCCUACCAACACAUUUCUUAGAAUCCUCCCUCGAUCUGUCCCAACUGAGACCAGAAAUUGUGAAAAUCAAUUCAUCUGACAUAUCAUAUCCUUUUCUCUGAACCACACUUAGUUAGAAAACAAAUUUAAAAGUGCUGUCUUGCUUUAGUCCUCCUACUAAAUGCCGACCACAUUAAGAUCACAGACUUUAUUUUUAUACAUUUCCCACAGCACUUAGUUCAUUGUUUUGUAAACAGCUGAUCAAUCUUUGUUUGGCAAAUGAACAGAAAAACACCUUAGCAUCAAAUAACCUUCCAUCGCUGGUAACAGCCCAGGUGGUUUAUGUAGUUUCUUUUUUUUUAUUUUUUUUUUUGAGACAGAGUCUCACUCUGUCGCUAAGGCUGGAGUACAGUGGCACCGUGUCAGCUCACUGCAAUCUCCGUCUCCUGGGUUCAAGCAAUUCUCCUGCCUCAGCCUCCAGAGUAGCUGGGAUUAUAGGCGUCCACCACCGUAGUUUCUGAAACUAUUAUCUUUAAAGUGUAAAGUAGGUCAGGAAAUCACUGAUGAAAAUUAAAUAACCAUGUUAUGUAAAAGCCUCAGACUGUGCAGGCGAAUUUGAAAGUUUAUGUUCCACUCUUGAGCUUGUCAUCAUAACACCUUCCUGACGGAGUUUAUGAUAUGAGUCAGCUCUCCCGCCCAACAGUCCAUCUGAGGGUCCAGGCCAAUGAGGACAGCAUCAGACACUGCAGGUGGGGCCAUAAUUGGAGCCCCUCCAUGGGAAAACUGUCACUUCCCACCUCCCAUGGCAACCUUGGCCUUUGGAGUUGCCAAGAAAGCCAGGCAGGACUUGGCUAUUCAAACCCCACAACAACCAGCUUUAAAAAGUCACAAUUCUAGGCCGUU